ACGACAGUACUCGCUUGAUGCAUGCUUCGAAUUGGAACAGUGCUCGGGCAACGACUGAUGACGUUUCACGAGUCCACGACGAGCACACACAACUGACGCAAAAGUACGCAAAUUGAGAAACGGCCAUUGGGAAACGCCCAUGCACACACCGCAGCGGCACACUUGCCAAGUGUUGGCAGGAAGGACAGAAGACACCUGGGAAGGCUUUUUUCUGUGAGACCUUGACAAGGAUGUUGCAUGAGCACGGCAAUGACCCCUGAAGGGCAAGGACUACUGGACUGCAGCUCUUCCUGCAUCCCUGAGCAGUGGCCGGUUCCAUCACCACUGUCGCUCAUCGGCACCACCAAGAUUCAAGUGAAUGCCCUUGCCCAUUCGACGCACUUCAUUUGGAACAUUGCUGAAGGCCAGACAAGGGUAUGGCCCGUCCCUCCAUCUCAGACGGCUUUAUCCCAACGUGAGCCAGGUUGUGGACGUGGAUCAUCAGGCUUGGCUAUGACAAACAUUCCAAGGGUUAUUGGCACAAAACUGAAGAAGAUGGAGUGUUUUCGUCUGGGGAACAGAAAACACUCAGGAAGAGUUGGCCAGAGGAGCAUGCUCUAGAUGAAUCGUGCGAUUCAGCCCACAAACGUGUAUUAUAUUUUGGCUGUAUCAUUUUUGCUGCAUAGCGUUUAAGUUGGUAAGAUUCACACCAGUCUUUUUCCAAUAGAACGAUGUGUGAUUAAAUAACAAAGGAGUCAAGAAACAUUUAUUCACUCCGGCCUUAUGAACGGCAAAUCAAGAAGUGUUCUCAAUGUUUGGUGCUGCUGGCGAUGCUUUGACGCUUCAAUAGUUCCUUGAAGGCAAUGGAUGCAAGUUAACUUUUUUUGUUGGUUUCAUAUCGUUUUUGAUAAAGAACUGUUAUUGUUCAGUUUCU
ensembl:lncRNA